rnacentral:sRNA from 1 species
CCCGGGGCGUUGCCCCGGGCUGGAUAAGGUCGCCCCUUCAGGGCU